GGAUGCUAUUCUCAAUUCGCUAAUGAAAUCCUAUCUACCUUUUUUAGUCAUUAUAAAAUGACGAAGCCUGCAGUGAACUACCAUCGUUUGUUAGGAUUAUUGCAGACUUUUGAGAAGGAUCACCUGCUCCAGAAGGAGCUAGUGAAUUUAGUGGGAGGUUCAUCUGUAGGGCAUCGAUCUUCUAGGAGAAAAAAUAAGAAGAAGGUGCAAAAAUCCCAUGCCA
rnacentral:lncRNA from 1 species